rnacentral:rRNA from 1 species
GUCGAACGCUUCUUUCCUCCCGAGUGCUUGCACUCAAUUGGAAAGAGGAGUGGCGGACGGGUGAGUAACACGUGGGUAACCUACCCAUCAGAGGGGGAUAACACUUGGAAACAGGUGCUAAUACCGCAUAACAGUUUAUGCCGCAUGGCAUAAGAGUGAAAGGCGCUUUCGGGUGUCGUUGAUGGAUGGACCCGCGGUGCAUUAGCUAGUUGGUGAGGUAACGGCUCACCAAGGCCACGAUGCAUAGCCGACCUGAGAGGGUGAUCGGCCACACUGGGACUGAGACACGGCCCAGACUCCUACGGGAGGCAGCAGUAGGGAAUCUUCGGCAAUGGACGAAAGUCUGACCGAGCAACGCCGCGUGAGUGAAGAAGGUUUUCGGAUCGUAAAACUCUGUUGUUAGAGAAGAACAAGGACGUUAGUAACUGAACGUCCCCUGACGGUAUCUAACCAGAAAGCCACGGCUAACUACGUGCCAGCAGCCGCGGUAAUACGUAGGUGGCAAGCGUUGUCCGGAUUUAUUGGGCGUAAAGCGAGCGCAGGCGGUUUCUUAAGUCUGAUGUGAAAGCCCCCGGCUCAACCGGGGAGGGUCAUUGGAAACUGGGAGACUUGAGUGCAGAAGAGGAGAGUGGAAUUCCAUGUGUAGCGGUGAAAUGCGUAGAUAUAUGGAGGAACACCAGUGGCGAAGGC